UACAGAGGGGGCAAGCGUUGUUCGGAAUUACUGGGCGUAAAGGGCGCGUAGGCGGCCUGUUAAGUCGAACGUGAAAUCCCUGGGCUCAACCCAGGAACUGCGUCCGAUACUGGCAGGCUUGAAUCCGGGAGAGGGAUGUGGAAUUCCGGGUGUAGCGGUGAAAUGCGUAGAUAUCUGGAGGAACACCGGUGGCGAAGGCGGCAUCCUGGACCGGUAUUGACGCUGAGGCGCGAAAGCGUGGGGAGCGAACAGG
rnacentral:rRNA from 1 species